rnacentral:rRNA from 1 species
AUUGAACGCUGGCGGCAGGCCUAACACAUGCAAGUCGAGCGGAUGAAGGGAGCUUGCUCCUGGAUUCAGCGGCGGACGGGUGAGUAAUGCCUAGGAAUCUGCCUGGUAGUGGGGGAUAACGUCCGGAAACGGGCGCUAAUACCGCAUACGUCCUGAGGGAGAAAGUGGGGGAUCUUCGGACCUCACGCUAUCAGAUGAGCCUAGGUCGGAUUAGCUAGUUGGUGGGGUAAAGGCCUACCAAGGCGACGAUCCGUAACUGGUCUGAGAGGAUGAUCAGUCACACUGGAACUGAGACACGGUCCAGACUCCCUCGGGAGGCAGCAGUGGGGAAUAUUGGACAAUGGGCGAAAGCCUGAUCCAGCCAUGCCGCGUGUGUGAAGAAGGUCUUCGGAUUGUAAAGCACUUUAAGUUGGGAGGAAGGGCAGUAAGUUAAUACCUUGCUGUUUUGACGUUACCAACAGAACAAGCACCGGCUAACUUCGUG